rnacentral:misc_RNA from 1 species
GUGGCAUGUGGCAUACAAACGAACCGUAUUUGUACAAAUGAUUAUUUUAUAUUCCCUACAAAUUCACAAUUUUUUUAUCAAAUAAAAUUGCCAUUGCAAAAUUAUUUGCACACGUAUAAGAAAGCUCAAUGAAGAAGUAUAAAUAAGUUGAUAUUAGUCAAGGCUAACAGCGAUUUUCAGAAAUGUGUAGUAUUAUAGUCAUUCGUAUCUCAUACGUAUAAAUCUAUAUAACAAUCAACAAUAGCAACAAGUAGACAGCUGGGAGGAUGGAUGCUGUUAAGAUAUUCGUCCUAUUCUUAUUUAAAUUAUCACGUUUCGUUUAAUAAUUAUGUAUAAUUAAAACUAUAAUUAUCGUACACGUUAUCAGUGAAAAGUUAGUGAUUGUGAAACUGUUAAAAAUGGAUGAAUCCGGUAUUGACAUGGGAUACGAUCUCGCUUCUCUAUUAACGAACGAUUUUAAUAUUGACCAGAGGAUUUUCGACGGAAUGAACACCACUCAGCCUCACCAGGAUUUCAUGUUUUACGAGCUUAAGUCCAAAGCCGUACCAGUCACCGAAAGCCUAUCGCAGUCCACUGCUGG